rnacentral:tRNA from 1 species
GGCACGGUGGCUUAGUUGGUAAAGCACUCGUCUAGCAUACAAGAGUUGUGGUUUCAAAUCCCACCUGAGCAC